AAAAAAAAAAAAAUCACAAAUAGUCUCACAAAAUUUAUAUUUAUAAGAUUAGCCAUAUCCCCGCCACGCAAGCGCCACCACGCGAGCGCCAUGUGAGCAUGUUGGGAGGUAAGGUUAAGUUGAAUACGGUAAACCAUUCACCAUAUUGGACACGGUGAAUAAUUUAUCGUAUUCAAUAUAUUUACACGCACUCAUACACACUUAUAUAUCUAUAUAAUACAUUUAAACAUGGUGAAUCAUUCAUCGUGUCCAAACACAGUAUAUGAUUUACCAUGUUCAACUUAACUUACACACACAACACGCUCAUGUGGCGCCCGCAUGGUGCUUGCAUAGCAAGAAUAAGACUAAUCUUGUAAAUAUAAAUUUUGUAGGACUAUUUGUGAUUUUUUUUAGGGGAAUAAAUGCAAAAAAAAAAAACACACACACACACUAAAACAUUUU
rnacentral:lncRNA from 1 species